UAGCUCAGUUGGUAGAGUGUCUGCCUCAUAUGCACAAGGCCCUGGGUUCAAUCCCCAG
rnacentral:tRNA from 1 species